rnacentral:rRNA from 1 species
GACAGCAGUCGCCGCGGUAAUACGGAGGGUGCAAGCGUUAAUCGGAAUUACUGGGCGUAAAGCGCACGCAGGCGGUUUGUUAAGUCAGAUGUGAAAUCCCCGGGCUCAACCUGGGAACUGCAUUUGAAACUGUCAGGCUGGAGUCUUGUAGAGGGGGGUGGAAUUCCAGGUGUAGCGGUGAAAUGCGUAGAGAUCUGGAGGAAUACCGGUGGCGAAGGCGGCCCCCUGGACGAAGACUGACGCUCAGGUGCGAAAGCGUGGGGAGCAAACAGGAUUAGAUACCCCUGUAGUCCCUGUCUCUUAUAC